UUAAUUAUUUGCUUUUAUAUUCAGGCUGCAAAGGGUUGCGAGGGUUUGGUUUUCGGCCGGAGGGUCCCCCAGAGGGGGCCCGCCUGACGCCGAUUAUGGGGCGGGAAGCGAAGGGUGGGGGUGAGCGCCGAGGCGCUCGGUGACCCAGUAAUGAUCCUUCCGCAGGUUCACCUACGGAAA
rnacentral:misc_RNA from 1 species